UCCCUGGCAGUCCAGUGGUUAAGACUCUGUGCUUCCAGCUCAGUGGGGCACAGGUUCAAGCCCUGGUUAGGGAA
rnacentral:tRNA from 1 species